CAAAGAGUAGUUUAAUUUAGAAUUUUAGCUUUGGGAGUUAACGGCAGGGGUUAAAAUCCCUUCUCUUUGA
rnacentral:tRNA from 1 species